rnacentral:rRNA from 1 species
GGUUUAUUGAUAAAAAUAGUAAAUUGUUUCUGCCCAUUGAAAAAAAAAUUAAAAGGCUGCAGUAUAUUAACUGUACAAAGGUAGCAUAAUAAAUAGUUUUUUAAUUGAAAACUUGAAUGAAUGAAUUGAUAAAAUAUAUAUUGUCUCAAGUUAAUAUAAUAUUUAAAUUAAAUAAAAAGUAAAAAUGCUUUUAUAAAAUUAUAAGACGAUAAGACCCUAAGAAUUUUAUUAAUAAAAAAUUUAAUUUAAUUUUGUUUAAAUUUUUAAAAUAAAUAUUUUAUUAAUUUUGUUGGGAGGAUAAUUAAAUUAUAAACUUUAAUUUAAAAAUAAUAAAUUAAUUAAAAUUUUAAUGAUAAUUUUUAUAAUUAUAAGAAAUAAUUACCUUAGGGAUAACAGCGUGAUAAUUUUGGAGAGUUCAUAUUGAUAAAAUUGUUUACGACCUCGAUGUUGAAUUAAAAUAAAAUUUAAAUGGAGAUAUUUAAAAUUUUAGUCUGUUCGACUAUUAAAAUUUUACA